GCGGCGUGCCUCAUACAUGAGAGUAGGAAGCGAAAGUCCCCUUCGGGGGAUGAGUAGAGUGGCGUCUUUUAUCAGUAACACGUAGGGAAUAUACCUUCGGGUGGGGAAUAACGCAGGGAAACUUGCGCUAAUACCGCAUAAUGCAGCGGCACCACAUGGUGACAGUUGUUAAAGCGGGGGAUUUUCGAACCUCGCGCCUGAAGAGGAGCCUGCGGCAGAUUAGCUAGUUGGUAAGGUAACGACUUACCAAGGCGACGAUCUGUAGCCGGCCUGAGAGGGCGGUCGGCCACACUGACACUGACAUACGGGUCAGACUCCUACUGGAGGCAGCAGUGGG
rnacentral:rRNA from 1 species